UACGGAGGAUCCGAGCGUUAUCCGGAUUUAUUGGGUUUAAAGGGUGCGCAGGCGGGAGAUUAAGUCGGCGGUGAAAUUUUGCAGCUCAACUGUAAAAGUGCCUUCGAAACUGGUUUCCUUGAGAGUAGAUGAAGUAGGCGGAAUUUGUGGUGUAGCGGUGAAAUGCAUAGAUAUCACGAGGAACUCCGAUUGCGCAGGCAGCUUACUAAACUACUACUGACGCUCAGGCACGAAGGCGUGGGGAUCAAACAGGAUUAGAUACCCUGGUA
rnacentral:rRNA from 1 species